UUGCCCCCUCGAGACAGCGUCACGUACACGAUUUGAAGUGUUUAAUCGUGACAAUGUCUCGAAUUUGUGUUUGGUUUAGCAAUUAGGUGACAAUCACCAUGUUACUUGAAUUUUUUUUUUUUUUUUGAUAAGGUCAUGUACUGUUUACAAUUCUAUCAAGUCGCGAAUCCAAAAACUAUAAUCAUAUUCUGAUUAGGAUUUUUUUAUUAGCCGACCGAAACAAAUCUUAUCUUUUAGUACACCACCGUAAUCUAUAAAACCCAAUAGAGAUUUACGAUUUUUUUUUUUUUUUUCUUCACGCUGCAUCAGAAGCUUUUCUUUUCCUGCAUCUCAUUGUCGCACAAUAUCAAGAGAGAAAAAAGAAGUCUUUUCAACCUGCUACCAAUAUACAAACAAGAAAUUAAUUUGAUCUACACUCUGUAGUGCUGGAUUCUUCAUCAAAGUCAUUAACGUGGGCAUCAUACCUCAACAGUACAUCAUAUUUUGCGAGAUACUGAACUUCUAGACUAUCUUUGAAGCGUUGCAGAAGCUCAAGACUAGUGAGGUGAUGAUUUUGUUACACCUUUUUUUGUCUAGAAUAUUUUGUUUGCACAGUAUCACUUUUUUUGUACAUGUGUACCCGUGUAUUUUUUUUUGUGUGUGUAUGACAGGUUCACUUGAAGAUGAAGACGAAGGCGGGGAUUCCGUCGUGAUGGGCCACAUGUCUUUAGCACUGUGAGCCUGUCAGGGGUGUUAUUCAUAUGUCUUUAGCACUGCGACACUGACACCUACAGACAGUCCCUUGAAGACGAAGACGAAGACGAAGGCGGGGAUUCCGUCGUGAUGGGCCACAUGUCUUUAGCACUGUGAGCCUGUCAGGGGUGUUAUUCAUAUGUCUUUAGCACUGCGACACUGACACCUCCAGACAGUCCUUGAAGACGAAGACGAAGGCAGGGAUUCCGUCGUGAUGGGCCACAUGUCUUUAGCACUGUGAGCCUGUCAGGGGUGUUAUUCAUAUGUCUUUAGCACUGCGACACUGACACUCCAGACAGUCCCUUGAAGACGAAGACGAAGGCGGGGAUUCCGUCGUGAUGGGCCACAUGUCUUUAGCACUGUGAGCCUGUCAGGGGUGUUAUUCAUAUGUCUUUAGCACUGCGACACUGACACCUCCAGACAGUCCCUUGAAGACGAAGACGAAGGCAGGGAUUCCGUCGUGAUGGGCCACAUGUCUUUAGCACUGUGAGCCUGUUAGGGGUGUUAUUCAUAUGUCUUUAGCACUGCGACACUGCACCUCCAGACAGUCCCUUGAAGACAGUCAAUCUCACCUCGAGGUAUGUUGUCUAACCCAUG